GCAGCUGCCCACGUCUUUGGUAUAAAUUCAAAUGGAAGUUGGACCGCAGGUAAAGCAGAAGGCUCAUUUAAAGGCUAAAUGUCCACGGCAGGACAAAUGAAAAGUCUUGUAAGAGAAACAUCAGGACACCCUACAAGAGGCUCCUCACAGCCUUCCCUGGUGUUGCGCAGAACUCUCUCGGUCUUUCAGGACCACGGGGAACCCUCAAGAGCAUCCAGAUAUUCACCAAAAGGUUCCAAAGGAAGAGAGACACAACUCCUGAACUUCUGAUCUCCCACCCAGAAGGCACUGAAGCGGAAGCCAGCAGCAGAGGAAAGACCUCCAGCACCAACUACUGAAACUCUACUCAUCCUUUAAAGCUCCUUCCUUCAUGAAGUCUCCACUGAUUCCUCAUUCCACCCCCACCAGCUGGAUAUCAUCUCUCCACCCUUGGAAUGCUGGUAACACCCUGACAAUCACGGUGGUGGGUGGGGGGUCUCUCUCUUAGUCACUGCUAGCAAGAUUCUUGCCAGAAUCCUCCUUAAGAGGCUGAUCCUUCACCAGGAAGAUGGCCAUCUGCCCUAGAGCCAGCGUGGCCUCAGAAAGGGCUGAGGAACAGUUGAUGUGGUGUUUGCUGCUUGACGAGUCCAGGAGAAAUGCCCGGAGCAAAACGGAGGUCUGUACACCACGUCUGUAGAUCUCCUGGUCAUCAGGGCUUGUGGAAGAUCCUGUCAAGACUUGUUCAUCAAUAUUGUACCUCGGUUUUGUGACGGCGUACUUGCACAAGUUCUGCAUAGCGGACAACGGUCUCACGCUUUCCCAGGCACCAAUGAGUGAAGUAGGGCUGUGUCCUUGCUCCCAUGCUUUUUAGCAUCAUGUUUUCUGGGAUGUUGUCAGAUGAAACUAACUGGAAACUCAACGAGGAGGAAACGGUCAUCAAGAUCAGCUACCUCACUGACAGUCAAAUUUUUAACUUGAAAAGGCUACAAGCCAAGAUGAAAGUGGAAGGAGAGUUGGGAUGUGACUUUUUGUUCACAGAUGAGGCUGAACUCCUAAGGCUGAAAUGCAACAAAGCAUGGAAUGAUUCUCUGCUACCUGUGCUAAUUUUGGCCUAAUAUCAUAUUAAUGUCAUCCCCAAUUAACACCAAGAAAACACAGGUUCAGGUUCUCCACCAGCCAGCAUCACACCAUCAAUGACAGCAAAUGGAGACAUUUUGAACGCUGUGGAUAAGUUCAUUUACCUUGGCAGUAUACCUUCCAAGCAUGUCCACAUAGUUGAUGAGGUUGACACACACACUGCCAGAGCUACCUCAGUGUUUGGGAGGCUCGAAAGGAAAGUGUAGGAGAAAAGAGGUUUUAGACUGACUACCAAACUGAACGUCUGCAGAGCUGUCAUGCUAACUUCACUGUUGUAUAACUAUCAAAACUGGACAGUCUACCAGUACCAUGCCGGGAAACUGAAUCGCUUCCAUUUGAGUUGUAUUAGGAAGAUUCUGAGGAUCGCCUGUCAGGAUAAGGUACCAGACACUGAGGUCCUUGCUCAAACUGACCUGCCAAGCAACUCUGAUGGGCUGGCCACGUUGUUUAAACGCCAGAUGUAUGCUUGCCUAAAGCACUAUUUUACAGAGAAUUCACACAAAGCAGGCGCUCACAUGGAAGUCAGGAGAGUGCCAUACACGGGCACUCUCAAGCCUUCUCUUAAGAACUCUGGUAUUGAUUGUGAGACAAGGGACACAGGACUGUCCAACAUGGCGUGCCCACAUCAAAGAAGGUGCUAGACUGUCUAAGCAAAGCAGAAUUGCAGCAGUUCAAAUGAAAUGUGAAAUGCACAAAUUUAGAGACAUCUCCACUUCACAUGUUCAUACGGACUCUUUGUGCCUGAUCUGUGCUAGAGCCUUCUGGGCUCGCACUGGUCUGAUCAGCCACAGUUACACGCACUGUCCCUUUGACCCCAACAUAGUGAUGUCAUUUUGGUGGUCUUUCGAGAAUGAAGGACAACAACUGAUACUCUGCCCCUGAAGCAUUUCUCCCGUGUGCCAGUGGGCAGGUCUCAUCUCCCCUUCUGGGCUGGUGAAAGCCCCACUGGGCUUUGUCCAUCACAGUCAGCGCCUGAUACGUUCAUUCAGUGAAAUAUAUUGAAUGAUAGGCCCUUAAAAAAAAAGUUACAUAGAGUUUUGGAAAAUUAAUAAAAGUUGGAGGGCGGGGACCUGAAAUUAAGUCUAAUUUGCCACUUUGUCAAAAUUCUACCUUGUCUAAUGGAACAGAUAUGAAGUAUUAAAUUGCUGGGAAACUUUUGUUAACUAUGAAAGAUUAUUCAAAUUAAAACCAAGAAAACCAAGCAUUACAAAGCUGGUAUUCUCUCUCUAACCUCAAGGCAGCAAUGAUUACUAUUUGAUCAUACAUCAAUCACAAAGCCUAAUCCACCAGGUUCUCCCAAAUAAGUCCAGUUUUUCAAACUAAACAAAGGAACACGCGCAAGAAAUAUGAAACAGUUCAAGAAUCUUUUUCAAAAUCAUCAAACAGCAUCACUGGAAAUGAUGGCUCAGGAUCACCCCACAUGGAGGCAAACGGCAACUCUGAAAACCUACAUCCCUAGACAAAUAAGGGAAUGAGAGAUCCAAGCUGAAAUCUCAGAUCCUACACGUGGAAGCAUCCGUCUAAAUUGUGGCAACACACUGUAAACCAGUCUUGGAUUGGCUCCUCAGAUUGGUAGUAGCCAAGGCUAGGUCUUUGCCUUAACUUUCAGAGUGGGUCACCCUUUCUCCCGCAGAAACAGUUUUGC